CUUCCUUCGUUUCUUUUUCUUUCCCACGUGACCCGGCGCUAGCGGUACACGUGUCUCCCCUCCCCCUCCCCUCCCCCGGGUGGAGUGCACGGAGGGGGCGGGCGCCGUGGAAUGUCUUUGUCUGCGCUCGGGCCCGCGGAGUGUGCGGCAGGAGACCUGUUAUUCGUGCGCCACGCCUCCUUCAACCGCCGAGCCUGGGGAGGUCCCCGAGGGAGCCGUGCCGCGGAGUGGAAUCGGGGGCCGCCCCUCCAACCGGGAAAUGAAAAGAACGCUUCUGGAGAGAGGGGGACGCGAGGAACUGAAACUUAGAAGGGGUCGAAGGGGUCAGUCCGAGACGCAAAGACCGGAAGAAAAGGGCUUCCUCCAUACCCAAGUAGGGCAUCCAGGAAGUCAGUCGGCAAGAUUUCCAUUGGAGCAGGUUCAAAACUGAAAGCCUCAGAACACAAAAAGGCGCCAAAAAAUCCAGUCCCGAAUUCCUGACUACUAAUCCUCAUCUUUAGUCACCAGCCACCCAAGCCCUACCCUCUCCCUAGAUGACCAUACCUGGGCACAAGCUCAGCUUGUGGUAGACAGGUCAUUUUCUUCGCCUACAAUCUAUCAAAAAAACGUACCAGCCAUACUCUGGCCCCGACCUCUGAGGCUGGUGGACACACCCUGGAACCCAUUUCCAAAUAAACAUGCUUCCCCACCCCACGUCUUGAAUUGGCUUAUUUCGUUGGGGGUGGAGGGGACGAUUAUCAACCUGAGUUCUAGCCCCAGGCCCAAAAUAGAAGGAGAGAACCAGCUCUCCCAAGUUUUCUGAC